rnacentral:rRNA from 1 species
CUCCAACGAGCGCAACCCUGACGCAGCAACGCCGCGUGCAGGAAGAAGGUCUUCGGAUUGUAAACUGUUGUCGCAAGGGAAGAAGACAGUGACGGUACCUUGUGAGAAAGUCACGGCUAACUACGUGCCAGCAGCCGCGGUAAUACGUAGGUGACAAGCGUUGUCCGGAUUUACUGGGUGUAAAGGGCGCGUAGGCGGACUGUCAAGUCAGUCGUGAAAUACCGGGGCUUAACCCCGGGGCUGCGAUUGAAACUGACAGCCUUGAGUAUCGGAGAGGAAAGCGGAAUUCCUAGUGUAGCGGUGAAAUGCGUAGAUAUUAGGAGGAACACCAGUGGCGAAGGCGGCUUUCUGGACGACAACUGACGCUGAGGCGCGAAAGUGUGGGGAGCAAACAGGAUUA